CACCACGCCCAGCUAAUUUUUGUAUUUUUAGUAGAGGCGGGGUUUCACCACGCUGGCCAGGCUGGUCUUCAGCUCCUGACCUCGUGAUCCACCCACCUCGGCCUCACAAAGUGCUAGGAUUACAGGUGUGAGCCGCUGCGCCCGGUCAAUCUCUUAUAUAUAUUUUUAAAAAGAUGUUUUCUUUAUUUCCUAGCCCCUUCUACCCACCUACAAAGUUCCGAAGGUUUUAAUGCUAUUGCAACGGCAGUCAGAGGUCAAGCUGGUGCAGCUUCCUGAUGCGGGGCAGCCUCAAAGGGGGCCGACCCUCCCUGCCCAGCACCAGUGGCACCGGGCAGUGGGGGACGCUCCCGAGGUUCCCGGAACCUGGCUGGGGGAAGUGUUGGGGGGUGCACGUACCUAGGCUCAGCUGAGGCGAGUUCGCCGCCGGGGCUGCAGCUGGUGCUGGCUGGCACUUGCGGCGGCCACUGAGGAGCUUCUGGGCGACCUUGCGCUGGUACCCACCAGGCGCCAGCCAGUAGGUGCACAGCGCCUGCUCCAGUAGCGUCAAGUCUUUGCUGCGCGGACCCCGCAGGCCGGGAAGUCAGGCAGGUAUAGUAGUCCAGGUGGAGGUAAAGCUUUUCCUGGUAGCUUAUGGGUGGCGGCCGCUGGAUUGAAGCCUGCGGACAUGACCUACCAGCAGGCCGCCUGGAGUCACCCUCACACGCAAGCGCGCUCCUGGAAGACCCAGCACUCCCACCUCGAGUUCCGAUUGGCUCCGCGUGAGGGGCGGGCCUUUGCGGCAUCUUAGGGGGGCGCCUUCUGCCACGUCACUGGCGGUACAGUUCCUGGAGCUGGGCAGUCUUCUCAGAGUGGAACCUGAUGAUGAUUAUUCUCCAUCUUCUAAGAGACCAAAGACCAACGAGCCACCAGUUCCAGAACCUGCCAAUGUUGGGCAACAGAAAGUGAGGGAGUUCAACUCUGAUCUUUGUCUCCUUGGAGGCCCUCACAAUCCAGUGGAGGAAGUGAAACUCAUCUGCCUCUGUCCCUCUGGGUGCGCCUCAUGCCAGGUGCAUCUGUGGACAUGCGCCAUGCUACUGGGCUUCCAAAGUUGGAGAAAGUUGCCAGGCUCAGUUUUCAGAGAAAUGGAAUAAUCAUAUCGCUGAUCUAUGUAAAUAAGUUGAAGAAUUGUCUG
rnacentral:lncRNA from 1 species